GACGAACGCUGGCGGCGUGCCUAACACAUGCAAGUCGAACGAAGCACUGCAGAAGGAGACUUCGGUUGAAUUCUGCUUUGACCUAGUGGCGGACGGGUGAGUAAUGCGUGAGCAACCUGCCUUUCAGAGGGGGACAACAGUUGGAAACGACUGCUAAUACCGCAUGAUGUGUCGAGGGGGCAUCCCCAUGACACCAAAGAUUUUAUCGCUGAAAGAUGGGCUCACGUCUGAUUAGUUAGUUGGUGAGGUAACGGCUCACCAAGACUGCGAUCAGUAGCCGGACUGAGAGGUUGAAACGGCCACAUUGGGACUGAGAUACGGCCCAGACUCUACGGGAGGCAGCAGUGGGGAA
rnacentral:rRNA from 1 species